GUGUUGCUGAAUAUGUCAGACUCAAAUCUGGAUAGCAGCAAGAAGAAUUUCUUUGAGGGGGGAAGUAGCUGAUGAGGAAAGUGUGAUUUUGACAUGGAUGCCAGUUAAAGAUGACCCAAAUAUGGAACCAACGGAACCCAAGUGUUUCUUCAACUUCUACUGUCACACUGGAGAAGCCUAAGAAAUACAAUCAAGGUCAUCUACUUCAAACAAAUGAACAAUUUACAGCUCCGCCAAAGGCUGGAUGCAAAAUACCAGCCCUUCCCUUGCCGGCCACUUUGCCUCCCAUUAGUAAGGUGUGUCGGGACACUUCGCGGGACUGGUGUCAACAACUUGGUUUGAGUACCAAUGGCAAGAAAAUAGAAGUUUAUCUGAGGCUCCGCAGGCAUGCUUAUCCUGAACAACAGCAAGAUAUGCCUGAAACGUCACAAGAGACCAGAUUACAGCGAUGUUCGAAGAAACACAAGGCAGUGACCGAGAGAGCAAGAGGCUUCAGAAAAGUUAUGAGACGAAUGAAAGAACAGAAGAGACUAAUACAGUUGAAGUGAUAAUUUCAGCGCAGGGAACCAUGUUGGCAUCAUGGGCAAGAAUUGCUGCAAGAGCUGUUCAGCCGAAGGCUGUGAAUUCAUGUUCCAUUCCUGUUUCUGUUGAGGCUUUUUCGAUGCAAGCCUCUGGUGUCAGGUGCUGUGUGGUCCAUGGCAGAUGUCUCUCAGCAGACACAAAGGGCUGGGUACGCCUGCAGUUUCAUGCAGGUCAGGCCUGGGUGCCUACCACUCACAGGAGGAUGAUUUCUCUCUUCUUGUUACCUGCCUGCAUUUUCCCAUCGCCAGGCAUAGAAGAUAAUAUGUUAUGCCCCGACUUUGCUAAAAGGAAUAAGAAGAUGAAAAGAUUAAUGACAAUGGAGAAGCAGCAGCAACCUCUUUUAAUACAAUGUACUAGAGAAGGAGGGAUGUACUUUCAGACCACGUAACCUAUUAUGAAGGAACAGUAGAGGAGACGAUUUGAAUGAAUCCUCGUGAUCUACAAAACAAAAUCAGAGUGACUAGGACUCCAUAGUGAAAAUGGUUGACCAGUGACACAGUACCAUCUAAAGAGCCCCUUUCUGUAAGUCUGAAAACCCAUUAAAAUAAAGUCACUGAAAAGAAAAAAGUGUAUCAUCCAGUAUCCCAUCUGAGAAAAAUACUAUAGAAAGAACCUUAAGCAAAUCAAAAAUGAACUGAAAUAGGUAACUCAAGAAAGGAGAUGAAGAGAGAAGUUGGU